ACUGUCCUCCCGCCGUUUCUCUCGCGCUUCCAUUCGGCAAACCCGUAAGCUCCCGCGUUCCUCUGCGCGCCUUUCGUCCCUCCCACCUGUGCGCUCACGUCCUCCCUCGCGUGCGGCGCUCAGUUUCCGGCCCUACCCGUGGGCGUCGGCGCCUAGUGGCGCUCUUCUCAUUUGGGUUCUUUGGGGGCUCUUUCACCCGCGACUCCCUACUCCCGGCCUGCCUUUUUCUUGUCACUGGACUGCUUCGUGCUUUGAGGGCCCUAACUCCUCCAGUGUCCCGUGGGAGGGGCAGCCGGGCGCUUCACCCGCGACUCGAGGCUCUUUUCCCGCGCGUGCGGUGCCAGCUCCAGCGGUCCGAGGCUUUCGAGCCCUCCCGCCCGCCACAGCUGGGGCCCCUCGUCUAAGAGGCAGCACAUUCCCCAACCAGAAUUUAAGGAAGUCCGGGGAACUUAAGUUUUACAGCCUGCUUAGCAUCCUCCUGGGUGCAAAAUAGAUAAUUUUGUCUUUUUUUAAAAAAAUUGCGUCUCGAUAGUGUUAGGCCAGAUGUUUUCCUGUUCUGACACUGGGCCAUGUUUCAGCUACACAGUUAAAUGCUUUAGCUUGUCUUGGAUUCUAUUUUCCAGUCCCUACUUGUAGUUAAGUAUAUGAUGUCCCUGCAGUGUUGGACUAGAACUAAGGGAAGUGGGAAAUUACAGGUUUCUUGCCCGCUUUAUGUCAGAGCCAUGUUUUCCUAGAGCCCAGGGAAAUAAUUGCAUAUUCAGCAUUUCAUCUGGGGACAUUUGUAUUUUCCUAUACAAUUUCAUUCUAUUGGUAUUAAGGAAUGAGGAUUUAUGCAGGCACUUCUGACCCGUUAUUUUAUUUUUUGAGAUGGAGUUUCCCAGGCUGGAGUGCGGUGGCACUGUCUUGCUCACUGCAACCUCUGCCUCGCGGGUUCAGAUGAUUCUCCUGCCUCAGCCUCCUGAGUAGCUGGGAUUACAGGUGCCUGCCAUCACACUCGGCUAAUUUUUGUAUUUUUUGGUAGAGACAGGGUUUCACCAUGUUGCCCAAGUUGGUCUUGAACUCCUGACCUCAGGUGAUCCGUCUGCCUCAGCCUCCCAAAGUGCUGGGAUUACAGGCGUGAACCAUCACGCCCGUCUUUCUCAUCCCUUAUUAACUGAACUAGAUGCAUUAAAGUCAAAACCUUGAGAAAGAGGCUCAGUUCAGCCUCUGUAAAAAUGAAGACUUGGCCCUGCUAUAAGAACUGGGAUGCAGGAGGGAGAAGAUCAGUUCCGGUUGUUUCAUUAGGUCUGAGGGUUGUAUGUCAGUUCCUAGAAUAGAAAAGUUUUGGCAAAAUGUAAGCUGUGGUCACUAUAGUUGUAGGUGAACCACCUUAGAAACAGUGUAUGCAAAUAGAAGACUAAAAAGGUAUUCCUGAGCCAAAUAGAAUUUUUGAAUGGCUUUUUGCUACUUUCUAUUUUUUUUUCUUUUUUUUUGAGACGGAGUCUCGCUCUGUCGCCCAGGCUGGAGUGCAGUGGCGCGAUCUCGGCUCACUGCAAGCUCCGCCUCCCGGGCUUACGCCAUUCUCCUGCCUCAGCCUCCCGAGUAGCUGGGACUACAGCCGCCACCAUGCCCGGCUAAUUUUGUUUUUUUUUUUUAUUUUAUUUUUAGUAGAGACGGGGUUUCACCGUGUUAGCCAGGAUGGUCUCGAUCUCCUGACCAUCCUUGGUCCGCCGUCCUUGGCCUCCCAAAGUGCUGGGAUUACAGGCCUGAGCCACAGCUCCCGGCCGCUUCUUUCUUUUACUCUAGAGGAGCUCUUUGUUCAAUGCCUAGCCACCUAUUCCUACAGACACGGCAGUGGAAAGGAAAAGAAAGUACUGACUUACAGUGAUUUAGCAAACACUGCACAGCAAUCAGAAACUUUUCAGUUUCUUGCAGAUAUAUUACCAAAGAAGAUUUUAGCUAGUAAAUACCUGAAAAUGCUUAAAGAGGAAAAGAGGGAAGAAGAUGAGGAGAAUGACAAUGAUAAUGAAAGUGACCAUGAUGAAGCUGACUCCUAAACCAAAAGUGCUUUAAAAACCAGCCUGGCGAGGACAGCCCUGGACCCACUCCACUGUCUCUAAGUAAACACAGCACUGCCCGCUUUUAGCGUCUUCACUUCUUCACAGAGUUCCAGUGUGUGGUAUUCUUUCGAGGUAUUCUUUCCAGGCCGAGAUUGAGCACCUCAUGUACCUACGCCACAGACAGCCAGAGGGAAAGCGACCCAGACAGCAGCCCCUCCUCGACAGGCCCACCCUGCAGCUCAGGCACCAAGAAAACAGCCGAUACUGGCAGCCAUUGCAGCUCCAAACUGCAGAGGCAAGGCCAAUUUUAACUUUUCAAUUUACAGUCGAUUUUGAAGAGCUUCUACAUAUCGGUUAUGUAAAUUCAUAUAUGUAUAUUUUGGAAUCAGUUCUUAUAAACAGCUCGAUUCAGUUUUAGCUAAAUUUAUAGUUUAGGUAGUAUGUUACAUUUGAAUUUUUGUCUUAAGAAAAGUUGACUGUUCAGAUAUUUUUCUACUGUAAAGAAAUAUACUUUUCUAUUAAAGAUCUGUACAUAUUUUUACAGUAAAAUGCUUUAUGGAACUAGUUUUAGAGCCCUCUAUGGCUUUAAGGCCUUGCUUACUGCCUGCAAAUUUUGAGAAAUUUAAAAAUAAGCAUUCUAACACUUUUAUUCCCACAGAAAAAUUCCAAGUCAAAUUAUCAAAUCAAAUACAAAAAUAAGUCUUACCUCUUGUAUAAGCAUGUUGUACUAAAAAAAAAUUUUGAAACAUUUUGUAUAUUGGAGAUCUCUCUCAUCUUACUGUUCUUUGCUUUAAAUUCCUGGCACUUCUUUUUACUGUCUAUAAGAGAAAACCUAUCAUAAGCCCAAUUUUUUUUUUCCACUUAGGGUAAAUGUUUGGCUCCUCUCAUUUCAUUAUCUUUUUUUUUUUUUUUUUAAAGACAGAUUCUCACUCAGUUGCCCAGGCUGGAUUGCGGUGGCGCUGUCUCAGCUCACUGCAACCUCCGCCUCCCAGGUUCAAGUGAUUCUCCUGCCUCAUCCUCCUGAGUAGCUGGGAUUACAGGCGUGUGCCACCAUGCCCAACCUAUUUUUGUAUUUUUUAGUAGAGACGGGGUUCACCAUGUUGGCCAGGCUUGUCUCAAACUCCUAACCUCAACUGAUCCACCUGCCUCAGCCUCCCAAAGUGCCGCCGGGAUUACAGGCGUGAGCCACCAUGCCUGGCCUUCAUUAUCUCUUUUUU
rnacentral:lncRNA from 1 species